UUUGUUUCCAGAAAUGAGAUUUGCUGAUAAUGCAAAAUCUAGUUCUCACCCGUAUAAAUUACUACUUCACUUCAGAAAUUACUGUGACUCUUAAGGUUCAUGUGUCUUGAGAAUUUGGCUUAGAACAAAGAGCUGUUAAACAGCUGUAAACCUUAAUGUAGCCACAGUAGUCCUCAAGUCAGCAGACUGGAGAAGAUUUGGAGCACAUUUCAGGAGGAACCAGAGGGUUUGUCACUAACUAAAACCCAAGAAUAUCUUAAAACAUCACAUGACAGUUGUUAAGCGGGUGCGACUCCCGCUAGCUGCCUUGCCAGCCUCAGGAAAGAAUGUGUGUUGUGUUUGGUUUUGUUUUUUAAAUGCCACUGGGUUUAGCUGCUGAAUGCCCUUCUAAUCUGUGAGCAAGGGCUCCACUUUGGGGCUCUUCCAAAGCUGACACGUAGCAAGCUACUAAAGUGAACAGUUAAACUUUUCCAUGGGAUCAACCUUUUUUUUCCUCUUUCAAGACAUUCAGGAAAACAACCCCAAACUGUUAUCCGGGGAUUAAAACGUGGAAUCUAGAUAUUUUUUUUUUUUCAGCAUCCCAGGCCUACAGCCCAGACGGGAGCAGUGGCGGAUGCAGAAUUGCCAUCACUUUUCCUAGGCCAGUGCCUCAGGGCUCAGACCACCUGCACAGCACCUGCAGGCAAAUUAUCAGAGGUAAUUAGCCUGAAGAUCUCCACCUGCUGUCAGCUUCACCUCCUCAUUCAUAUCAGACCCUGAGCUCUGACAGAGAUUCUGUGACGAGCAUUUUACUUGAAAACAAGGGCCUCAUGUUUCCUCUGCUAGAGGUACUGGGGGAUUUAGCUAUGCUUCAGCUGUUGUUGUUGUUUGUAAGGUAGACAGAAGCCUUAGGAAUGCCGCCAGCAACAGAGAAUGCCCUAUUUCAGUGGACUGGACAAGGGAGCAAACAGAAAAGGCAACGAGGGCCCUGAGCUGCAGCCAGACAUGGUCAGACUGACCUUGAGAAAAGAACACAGAAGGGGAGAAAGAAUAAUGAUCCUGCUUGGUGCAUCAGAAAGCACAAAACAGGGCCAAGAAGACAGCUGCCUGGAGUCACCAGCGUGCUGCUGAGCCUGCUGAGGUUUUACAAACCCCCUUGUGUGAGGGGUGGUUGGCCAGGGUCACCCCGGGCACACGUCUUACCACCAAACUGGUCGGGUUAUAAAUCCUCACACAGACUGGACAGCGAGCUGUCCAAACCCAUGGAAAAGGAACAUCAGCCUUCGGUCUAUGGUUGUUGAUAAUGGCUAGAAAUGUUCAUUUUAGCAAAUGAGGUAAGUGUAAAGUUACUAUAAGGUGGAAAGCUUCCAAGCCGGAUCCUGCCAUGUGCCCCUGCUGCUCUUCGGCCUGAGACCAGGCCCUAGUGGCAAGCUCUACCCUGCAGCAAAUAUUUACUGUGACGUUGUAGUCCCUCAGGGGGGAAAAAAGGGUUUAUGAUGGAAAUGAUGAUGGAGUAUUAAGUGCAGUGGCGCUCGUGAGCGGCACAGCUAUAACAACAACCUCAAACCAGUAAAUAGGAAAAAGGCCUUCUCUGUCCAGAUGGUGAGGCAGGCAACAUAGCCCUACCGUAUGCAACACCAGAGACUUUCCAAAUCCUACUCCAAAUCUUUUAAUCCCUUCAGUCCUUAACGGUUCAAAAUUACAUCAUCAUUUCCUCCAUUUCAGACAGAGCUUUACCCCUUCUGCUUCAUAGCUGCAGUCUAAUAGGGCUCAUACUUCUUAAUCUUAAAUGGAAAAAUGUAUGUCAAGUCAAAACAAAGCACAGUUUCUAGAUCUCCACAGGGGGUGUGGGGGGUGUCUCAUAAAUCUGUAUAUGAUUAAAGGCAGCUGCAGAUUGACAUGGACAUUCUGAGCCUGUCAGUCCUUUGCGUGAUGUAUAGCUAUUGCAGCAAGCCAGCAGUGGCAAGCUGAAGACAAUGAAUUUCCUGCACUUCCUAGUCUUAUUGCCAAGGACCAGGAAAUAGAUGCCUAAUCAGCCUUGAAUUUGUAAAGGCCCUAACCUAAACCCCAGCACAAGCACUGCUAGUUCUUGGCCUGGUCAUUUAUUCUAAGAUCUUUCAAUCUCUUGUUUCACUAGCAGUGAAUGUGGAGAAGUACACCAAAUUCCUUUCUGGUAACCUGAGAAUAUCAGCUAAUGGAAAAAACAAAAAGCGCUCUGCAACUAUAUUAAAUUUUCCGUUUUUUUCACUCCUGCCCCCAACUGGCUGAUAUUAACAUUUUUCUAAUGUCUUUGAGAUUAUGGCAAACAGCUUGUGGGGGGCGUGGGGGAUGACACCCAAGCUCCCUGAACAGCUUGAACCACAUCCUCAGUUGGCAUAAAACAUAGGAGCUCUCCUUUUUAUACCAGCUGAGAAGCCAGGGUACUGCUGCUUUUGUUUCCAGCUUUGCAACACAGUUACUGUAAUAAAAGUAAGAUAUUGAGAAGCUUUGCUCCA
ensembl:lncRNA